GUUAUCUGGCAAUGCUUUUUCGUCUUUGUUCUGUUCUUCAACGACGCCAAUCUGUCUUUGCUUCGCCUCCAUUCUUUUUCAAUUGUGUCAGCAGUUAUUCAAAGAAAUUCAUGAGGUGAUGCAGCGAAAUUUUUGUAAGUGAAAACUGAAAUUAACUUACUCUUUCAUCUUGGAUCUCAUCCCGAUAACUUAUCAGGUUAGCCAUUCUUGCUAAUUGUUUUCUCGUUUGUGGACUUACCUUCAUCAUCUUGGUUUGGUCUCAUCCCAUCACAGUUCAUAGGUCACAGUUCAUCGGUCACAGUCAUCAGUCAAUCCGAUCACUUAUCAGGUUAGCCAUUCUUGCUAAUUGUUUUCUCUUUUGUGGACUUACCUUCAUCAUCUUGGUUUGGUCUCAUCCCAUCACAGUUCAUAGGUCACAGUUCAUCGGUCACAGUCAUCAGUCAAUCCGAUCACUUAUCAGAGAAGCUUACAACACUCGAGGAAUUGUAAAACUUAAUCAUGGAGUAAAGGAUAACAAGAUGUUAUGUAAGAAAAUUUUUGAUAAAAUCGACGAACUUGAGAAAAAGCUGAAAACAUCCCAAACCACAACAAACGAAAGCGAUGAGGAGGACGAUGACUUCCCAAUUUGAAACAUGGAUGAUUUCGAUUCAGUUAACUUGAAACUUCAAAACAAAACAACUCGUAAACAACUGAGGAUCCGCCUUGACUCUACUGGAAGAAAAAACGUCGGCGAUAUCGUCCGAAAAAUUUGUGUUUUCUGCUUGAAUAAAAAGUUUGCUCGAAACUUCAGUUGGGAAGGAAACAGAGGAAAUAUGUGUCUUAAAGACACAAUGCUUGGCAAAGUCAUGCUAGUUGUAAUCCUUAAAUAUGAAAAACCUAAAAUAAAAAGUCAUGAGGCGAUAUUGGCUAUUCAAAAUUGGCUGAAACAUGCAAAGGAUGGUAUGAAAGCAGAGUUAACGGCGGCAGCGGCAGCAAAAAAAAAAGGAGGAGAAUAAAAACAAUGAAAAAGAGGAUGAUUCCGAAGAAGACAGAAGGCCACUACCAUCUUCGUCCUCUGAUGAUGAAGAUUAAAAUUUUUUCGUUAUUCGAUUAAUAUGUACCAUGAUUGUUGAAAAUAAAAUUCAUGGAGUAACAAAAA